UACGGAGGGGGGCUAGCGUUGUUCGGAAUUACUGGGCGUAAAGCGCACGUAGGCGGCUUUGUAAGUUAGAGGUGAAAAGCCCAGGGCUUAACCCUGGAAUUGCCUUUAAGACUGCAUCGCUAGAAUCGUGGAGAGGUGAGUGGAAUUCCGAGUGUAGAGGUGAAAUUCGUAGAUAUUGGGAAGAACACCGGUGGCGAAGGCGGCGAGCUGGUCCAUUACUGACGCUGAGGCGCGACAGCGUGGGGAGCAAACAGG
rnacentral:rRNA from 1 species